AGCGGAGUAGAGCAGCUUGGUAGCUCCCAAGGCUCAUAACCUUGAGGCCACGGGUUCAAAUCCCGUCUCCGCAA
rnacentral:tRNA from 1 species